rnacentral:rRNA from 1 species
AUUGAACGCUGGCGGCAGGCCUAACACAUGCAAGUCGAGCGGUAACAUUUCUAGCUUGCUAGAAGAUGACGAGCGGCGGACGGGUGAGUAAUGCUUGGGAACAUGCCUUGAGGUGGGGGACAACCAUUGGAAACGAUGGCUAAUACCGCAUAAUGUCUACGGACCAAAGGGGGCUUCGGCUCUCGCCUUUAGAUUGGCCCAAGUGGGAUUAGCUAGUUGGUGAGGUAACGGCUUACCAAGGCGACGAUCCCUAGCUGGUUUGAGAGGUAAUGAUUCCAGCCACACAUGGAACUGAAGGACACGGUCCAGACUCCUACGGGAGGCAGCAGUGGGGAAUAUUGCACAAUGGGCGCAAGCCUGAUGCAGCCAUGCCGCGUGUGUGAAGAAGGCCUUCGGGUUGUAAAGCACUUUCAGUCAGGAGGAAAGGGUUAGUAGUUAAUACCUGCUAGCUGUGACGUUACUGACAGAAGAAGCACCGGCUAACUCCGUGCCAGCAGCCGCGGGUAAUACGGAGGGUGCGAGCGUUAAUCGGAAUUACUGGGCGUAAAGCGUACGCAGGCGGUUUGUUAAGCGAGAUGUGAAAGCCCCGGGCUUAACCUGGGAACUGCAUUUCGAACUGGCAAACUAGAGUGUGAUAGAGGGUGGUAGAAUUUCAGGUGUAGCGGUGAAAUGCGUAGAGAUCUGAAGGAAUACCGAUGGCGAAAGCAGCCACCUGGGUCAACACUGACGCUCAUGUACGAAAGCGUGGGGAGCAAACAGGAUUAGAUACCCUGGUAGUCCACCGCCGUAAACGAUGUCUACUAGGAGCUGGGGUCUUCGGACAACUUUUCCAAAGCUAACGCAUUAAGUAGACCGCCUGGGGAGUACGGCCGCAAGGUUAAAACUCAAAUGAAUUGACGGGGGCCCCGCACAAGGCGGUGGAGCAUGUGGUUUAAUUCGAUGCAACGCGAAGAACCUUACCUACACUUGACAAUACAGAGAACUUACCAGAGAUGGUUUGGUGCCUUCGGGAACUCUGAAUACAGGUGCUGCAUAGGCUGUCGUCAGCUCGUGUUGUGAGAUGUUGGGUUAAGUCCCGCAACGAGCGCAACCCUUAUCCUUAGUUGCCAGCGAUUCGGUCGGGAACUCUAAGGAGACUGCCGGUGAUAAACCGGAGGAAGGUGGGGACGACGUCAAGUCAUCAUGGCCCUUACGUGUAGGGCUACACACGUGCUACAAUGGCAUAUACAGAGUGCUGCGAACUAGCGAUAGUAAGCGAAUCACUUAAAGUAUGUCGUAGUCCGGAUUGGAGUCUGCAACUCGACUCCAUGAAGUCGGAAUCGCUAGUAAUCGCGGAUCAGAAUGCCGCGGUGAAUACGUUCCCGGGCCUUGUACACACCGCCCGUCACACCAUGGGAGUGGGUUGCUCCAGAAGGGAUAGCUUAACCUUCGGGAGGGCGUUCACCACGGAGGUAUUCAGUAAGU